GUACCGUACCAUGUUAUAGCCAUUGAAUUUAAACUAAGAAACCAGUUACUCUUCGAGGUGAUGUGAUGACAAGCCUGCACCAGAAGUCCAGAAAGCAUACCAUGCUCUAUGAGAGCCUUCAUUGAGACUGUGGUACUUCAACGCAAUGUUCAAAGAAUCCAGUAGUCUCUCAAGAGGCUAAACUCAAAACGAAAAUUAGCAAUAAAUAUAUGUCGUAUA
rnacentral:misc_RNA from 1 species